AGAGUGCCUCAAUGGGUAGGACUCUUGACUCACGUGGGUAAGGUCGCGGGUUCAAAUCCCA
rnacentral:tRNA from 14 species